CCAGGGGCCAAUCCGCUGCCUCCGGACUUAACCCAAGCAGCGCUUUGGGUCAUUUGUCACCCAAGUCAGACCCAAGUCGGGCGAACCAGAUUGGCCAUGAAUUGUCCCAGGCUGUACUACGAGACCAGGAGUCGAGGAGAAAUUGCACCCGAGCUCUGACCGCGAUGUAACUGCUGUGAGACUCAUAAAUCGUCAACCAACUAAACCAUGACUGGAAAGUUUAUAGAGAGGGCGAUUCCAACGCCGUUAAGAAUCUCAGGCAGCCCAUCCAACUGGGGAUUUGAAUUGUCUUUAUAAAGUGUUGCCCAUGCAAUCAAACAGCUGCCUGUGGUAUUUAUAGGAUAAAGGACAGCGAGGGUCCUUGACAACUUUGAAUUUACUCGUUCAUAGCGAAAGUGAACCUGUUUUUAAAUUGAAUGUGCACACUGGGUGCAAGACAUGUUCAUUUAAUUAUUUAGUUGCAGGACAUGUAUCUAAUGGGCUCAUCAUUUGGGCCGUUUACAGAGUGAAAUACUAAGUUUUGGUGAUUAUGGACUUUAAUGGGAUGUUGACGUUGUCGAAGCUGGAAUUCACAAAAGGGGAAAAUGGGACUCCGAUCAUUCAGUUCCUCAACAGCAGCAAAUUUAACAUUGAAACCAAGAAGUGACCUCAAAAGCUGGACGGGAGUAGAUGGCGGCACUGGUGUCUAUUGAGCCCAUUGCACUUUGCCAUUCAUUACAAUCAGGAUUGAUGUCCUUUUGGAAAGUUGGGUGUUGGGCAACACUGCUGCUCCUGUUCCCAGAUUCGGGCUGCCUGUUAUUAAUAGGCACGAUCCAGGUUGCCAUGAGAUACCGUGACUUGACAUCAAGACUUUACUAUAGUGGGUCAGGAAAACCGCUUCUACCUAUCCUCAGCAAAGUUACAGAACUACCACCUCAAUGGAAUGGACUGGUCACAUUUCCCAGGGGAGGGUGUUAUUAGACCCUGACGCACUUCACUGAGGACAGAGCAAUUUAAAAUACAUUGCGGCGUCAGUGAAGAUUGAGGAGAUGGUGGGAAAGUAAAUCGCCAGAGAUCCUUCCCUCUAUCAGCUGUGAAACUCAGCCACUUCAGGAUCAUUAAAUCUGAUCUAAACUCUCUUUAAUUACUAUCGAUUUUCUCCCACUGUUUACACGUCAGACGGACUCCCCUGAGAUGUAUUGACCGCUGUUAAAUUCUGCCCUUCAAAUAUUUGAAUAAAUCCCCUCCCCUUUCUCCCAGGACCUCAAGCUUCCUCAUCAUUUCUGUAAUGACCUCUUUAAUUUCUUACUGUAUGGCUAAUUAAAACUAAUUAAAAUUGAGCCCGUUAAGGCAGCAGUAACUUUACUACUCCACACAAUAAUAUGUUUGAGCUUGUGAACCAAACAAUCCACUCUUUUCACUGUUUGGCACCAGGUACACGCACGGGUCACAAGUGAUCUGACCUGACCUGCAGAUUUUAACCUGACAAGUGCAACCCAAAUGUUGAUACAAGACUGUUUGGUUAAUGAUAUGCCGAUCGGUUAUUCUGUACACAAAUAAAUCGUGCCUUCCGUGAUAAGAAAAAAAGUCACGUAUCCCGAGAAAAUUAUAAGGGAACCGCCUGCGGAUCACCAGGAUUGGUUUAUGCUAGUGGUCACGUUCUAACAUUAAGUAAAUUCGGUGAGUCUUUGUCGGCCGUUAAUCUCGUUCAUGUUCUAAACAUAAGUAAAGACAUGCAUUUUUUCAAAACCUUUGGACGUCUCAAAGUGUUUUGCAGCCAACUAAGUAGGAUUGAAUUGUAGUAAAUGUUGUAAUGCAAAAGAAAAGCCACAAAUCAAAUAUGAGACUGAACACUCCCCCAUCUGCCUGGAUGAGUGCUGUUUCAACAAUGCAGACGAAGCUGAUCGCUAUCAGGACGAAAUUAGCAUCCCAUCCACCACCUUAAAACAUUUGCUCUCUCCAUCCCUCCUCCACAAUUGUUCUACCGCAAUUUGUUUGAUAGAACCUUCCAAACUCAUGAUCACUACCACCUAGAAGAUCAAAACCACAAGAGUGUUACCUACAAGUUCUCUUUCAAGUCACACACUAUCCUAAAUUGGGAUGAUAUUGCUGUUCAACCACUGGAUGAAGUCGUGGAACUCCCUCUCUCAGCAUUACGGGUAUUCCUACAGGACAUGAAUGUCAGUGAUUCAGGAAGCCGGCUCAUCCUUCUGAAGGGCAAUUAGGGAACAGCAGUAACAGCAGGCCUAGCUAGUAAUGCUGACAUCCUGUGAAAGAAUAAGAAAAUAAAUAAACAGCAAACUCCAACAAACAGCAAAGUGAUAUCCAUCAAAUAAUUUGUUUCCUGUGUUGUUGACUUAGGUAUAAAAAUGUGACCAGGACAUGAGGGAUAACUCCGCUGCUGCUCUUCAAAAUAAUUCCAUGGAUUCUUUUACAUCCAAUGGAGCUAGCAGGUGGAUUCAAAGCUGAGCAGAGCAGCAAGGGACUCAGGGCAACCAGAAUUGUAUGUGGAACUCCAAAUGUGGCUGUAUCAAUGUCUUCUACAGCUGGAACAUGAUGUCCCAACUUCAGUACUCAAUAUGGAAAAACUUAAGAAAUAAUUUAAAGGACAAUUAACUGCAGAAUGGUAUUUCUAAUCAUAUCUAAAGAAGAUGGUGGCGGGAGCAGAAUAGGAAACAUUUGGGCUCCUGAACCUGUACACUCCUGUUUGCCUACAAACUUUUUUAAAAAAUUCUCUUUUGCAUCAAAAUUCACCCUUUUUCAGUGGCUACAGUGCGGGAAGGCGGUAGCAAGAGCCUGCUAGGGCAGCAGCAGCAUGAUGGAUCCGGAUGUCCAUUCCUCAUGGCCAUGGUGGCUGUGGCCUGAGGAAAGGCUCUAUCACUGGUGACUCAGCAGAACUCUGGUCCAUUCCUCCUGGCAGAAGGACAGUGGUUUCUGCAGAUACUACAGCAGUAGCAGCACGGUGGUCCCAGUUCAUUCCUCAUGGCUAUGGCAGCGAUGUGGUGGUUUCAGCAGCAACUGAAGUGGCAACGGCUUGAGUGAUGUCUUCAGUGCUGGCAACUUAUUAGGUCCGGUCUGUUCCUCCUGACGAUGAUGGCGAUUCAGUGGUGUUGGCUUCAGCGAUGGCAGCCUGGUAGGUCCAGCCUGGAAAUCAUCACUUUGGCAGCCUCAGGAUUGAAGGAAUCUGAGGAACAAGCGAGUCGACAUUUCGGGAAGAACCCUUCUUCAGGAGCAGCUUCGGCAGCAGUGUCCCAUAGCCACUUUAGAAACCCAGGAGCUGUGGAGGGAACAAAAGGUGAACUUUGUCUUAACUUUGUCUCAAUUAUUUAUUUUUAUAAUUUCUGUAAUUAAAAUGGUGCCGGAUUAUGGUGAUUUAUACACAUAUCAUUGGAUUAUCAUAG